rnacentral:rRNA from 1 species
GACGAACGCUGGCGGCGUGCCUAACACAUGCAAGUCGAACGAAGCAUUUAAGUGAAUCCCUUCGGGGUGAAGCUUUUAUGACUUAGUGGCGGACGGGUGAGUAACGCGUGAGUAACCUGCCUUUCAGAGGGGGAUAACAGUUGGAAACGACUGCUAAUACCGCAUAACGUGCUCGAGAGGCAUCUUUUGAGUACCAAAGAUUUAUCGCUGAUAGAUGGGCUCGCGUCUGAUUAGAUAGUUGGUGGGGUAACGGCCUACCAAGUCGACGAUCAGUAGCCGGACUGAGAGGUUGAACGGCCACAUUGGGACUGAGAUACGGCCCAGACUCCUACGGGAGGCAGCAGUGGGGAAUAUUGGGCAAUGGGGGAAACCCUGACCCAGCAACGCCGCGUGAAGGAAGAAGGCCUCGGUUGUAACUCUUUAGUCUAGGGACGAAGGACGUGACGGUACCGU